ensembl:lncRNA
AAAAGGAGCAAAGCUCUUUCUGUUUAGCCUGCAGGAGCUGUAAUCAGUACUCACUUGUCCUCCAGCCUCCCCUGUGCCUGAGGGACAUUUCAAGAAACAACGCUGAAAGCUGUUGGUUGCUUUCAGUGCUACAUGCUAACGUAAUACUGGCAGAUAGCAUUGGACAAGCCCACAAAUGCAGAGUGAUGCUGAGAUCAAUACCAACCAAGUAACUGCCUGGAGACAGUUAAAUAACCUUCCAGAAUAAGAAGCACUUUGUAUGAUGAAGUCAACCAGAAAGGAGAGUUAAUAUGAACUGCCUAGUAUGCUUAACUUUGUCUUAAUUGUGCUAGGAGUUAUUACUGUUGUGAGAGUUAAAAGGAAAAGGAGUUAAUAAAAAUAGUAUGGAUAGCCUGGAUAUACAAGCAUAGGGGCAAAGCAAAAUACAAAGGCUGAAGGGAAGCUUUAUGGGAGAUAACUCACUAGAUGGAGUAAAUAUGUACGUCAGCAAUAUAUUGGCAAUACAUGUCUUGGAGAAUCAUCUUGUCUAAUGUCCUGGCUCAGAUGAACGGCUAUGGAGCUUCAAGCAAAUUGAAAGAAGAUUUAAGAGGGCAUAAAGAGAGCUGGCCUCGUGAGAAGGGACACAACUGGGGUCAAAACUGUAGACUUUAAGUACCUCAGCCCUGGGAUGAAAAGUAAACAAACGAGGAAAGCAGCUCUUAAUAAUUGAGUGCUGAAAUGGAAAUAAAGCUGCUUCCUCUGCUGUGAUUUAGGGCUGCCUUAUGGUCGCUGCUGCAGUCGGGGCGGUGCGUGCAGUGCAGCGGAGCUCCUGGUUGCACAGUGAGGGUUGUGCCGUGUGGCUCUGCAGGUGUCAGCACAGUGAAAUGGGGAAAAACUGAAUUCAUACUGACUGAGCCAUAAAUAAUGGGCUCUCUAUGCAGGAGUCCUUCUAUCAAGGAGGAGGAGUGCAGAGCAUCCCCUUUGUCUUGCCCUUCAGCUGUGAGCUGUGGCAAUGCCCUCGGAGCCCCGUGACCCCAGGGCAGCCAGCGGUGUCACCUGGAUCACUGGCUCCCCUGCGUCACUUCUGAAUGGAGCUUUGGGUUUGUGCCCAGCACUGCCCUCCUGCUUGGCUGCUGCUGAGGUCAGCCUGCUGGUGUCACCUGCAAGUCCCUGGGCCUUUGUUCUCCAGAAGAGAUUCAUCUUCCUUUUUGUUCCUCUGUGCAGCGAGCCCAGCUGUGAAAACUGCAGGAAAAUUAACAUUUUCUCAUCUAUGCACAUGAAGCUCUCAGGAAUGCUCUCAUCAGUAUGCCAUGGGACAGCCACCAGUGCUAAUAGGAACAGCCAACUGCAUUUCGCCUGUGUUCCACCAACUGUACUGCAUCAAAGCACGCCAGCCCACUGCCAGCUCUCUUGCACCACAGACCUCCUGGAAUCCCUGUGCACAGCACCAACGAGCAGAACACUAUAGACAGCAAAAGAAUCCUGUUGGUAUAAGUAGUUUGUUAGGCUGCACCACGCUACCCAGCAAUUUUUGCUUUUUCAAAUAUCUCUGGGUAGCUCACAUUUUAGGAUCUAAAGUCAAUGGUGGCACUCCACAAAGGACAGCUUUCCGUGACCAGGGAGAACUGUGUUGGAAAUCCACUUCCACAGCAGAGCCAAUAGAAAAAGACAUCCAGCCUGCAGGAUUGGAUGCAUGAAGAAAGGGCAGACAGAGCUGGUCUUCCCGUGGUGGAUCCAUUGUAUGGAUCUCUGGCUCUGUUAUCCUCCUGCAGCUUCCCACAGCUCUUCCCUCUGAAGGACCAGCAUUCUUCCCUGCCCAUCCUGGAGCACAUCUUAUCACUGUUUUUUAAAGUACCUGCAGCACAGAGCCUUGCAGCUUAUUCAAAGCCAAUCUAUUUUCUUUGCCUUUUAAGCAACUGCUGCUUCAUCUCAUGAAAUCAAACUGACCCUCUGCCAAGUGCCUUUAGGCUUGGAAGGGGUGCACAGGAGAUGCAUCUGGGUUAGGAUCAGAGGUUCUCAGGGUGGGAGGCUCUGGGCUGGGACCUCGGCUGGCAGGAGAUGCUCCAGCACCAGCAGAAUGCCAAACGGGAGAAGAGAUGAGGACUUGCCAGGCACAAGUUGCUCAACAUCAUCAUAUUUCAAUAUUUAUAGAAUGCUGUCGCCUCUCAAAUGUAAAAUUGGGCUGUUAUCUCCGUAUGUGCAGAUUUUCUACAAACGCAGAUAUACUCACUUCUUGCUUUAACUCUUUCGAUCGGUUCCGUUAUUUCUAUCCUACUCAAAGCGAAGUCUUUAAGAGCUUCUCUUCAUUUCCCUUCUACCAUAAUAAGGAUGGAUUGUUUUUUUCCAAUGUGCAAUCCCAGGCAACACAGCCUCAAAUGCUGCAGUUUGGGGGCACUGCUUCGUGUGUUUAUGAGGACUCCGAGCCCCCAGAGCCAUCACCCUGUCCUCUAACCAGGAAGGCUCACGUCUUUUCUUUCCUGCAAGGUCUCUUUAUGGGUUCACCACGGAUUAAUGAUGAUUUUCACCUGAAAAGCUGAGUUUCUGGAAAUUACAGUUUCUAAAAUGGGGACUACAGGGGGAAGGAAGUUUGGCAGGAAAAGCUGCUGCCGUAUUGUGCUCUAAUCAUCAUUCCUGCAACUGCUGUCUUCAGGGAUGCCUUUAAACGAUGGAAAGGGCCCUAUUUCUGCCCCCAGGUAGCCUCACUGAAACCAGAAAAGCUUCACUGCUGGAAAAGCAUUGCGGGUUUGAAAUGAAAUAAGCACCACCCACCCCAAAUCCACUUACCUGCCCGCUGAUAAGGAACCUGAUGUUUUUCCCACCCACAGCCAAGGAUUUUUGUCAGUUGCAUGGAAAAUCGCUCCUAUCUGCCCUCUCCGUUUUGUGAUGUGAAAGAUGCGUCUCAGCUUAAUUAUUCACCCCGUGAAAACACGUUUCACUCCAGGCAGAUGGCUGCUGGCUGAGGCAAUUUCUCAUUUUCUGGCAACCUCGAGACCUAUAGGGACCAUAUGCCAUACCAUAUAGCUUAUGCUAUGUCUGAGCAGCCCCAAUCAAUCUUCCCUUGCAGGAACAGAUCUGAUUUUAAUAGCAUCCCUGUCCUUGUUUUAUCAGGGGCUGUCAACAGCAUAAAGGAAUACCUUAAUAAAUAGUGAUACAUAAAUACUGAAACCCUGCAUUUACCACAUUCAGUGCGCAUUGCUGAGCUGUUCAUCAUCUGAUGUUACCAGCGUUGCGUGGCAACUGAUGUUUAAAGGUUUGCUGACUCAAAGAGCCUCUGUACUGUAAAAGGUUUGGUGUAUUUAUUUGACAAGCUUUAGCUUCAAUGGGUCCUUUUUCAUUUUUAUGCAUGGCCGGUGUUUAUAAUGACUAUGAAAACUAUUUAAUUUUGGUUUCCAUGAAGCUGAGGAAUUUAGAAAUUUUAUAUGAUUACAGGGGGAAAAAAAAAAAAGCUUUGAGCGUGUCAACAAAGAGAGCCCAGCAUGGGUGAUGCUCUCCAGGUUUAUCUGAGCUCAUCUGCUGCAGCACCACAUCCAUCAGAGCACAGCUUUUUGCUGAGACCGUGGUCAUGCAGUGUUGCAAGUGGCUCUGCAUUACUGAGUCCUCCUGCUGUUCUUGUGGCUGUGCAUGGUUUCCCUGCCACCUCUCUGCAAACAAAUGUCACUGUGAGGAAGCCAACUAUUUAUUUUUCUUUUACUGUAAUGAAGAUACCUUUGAAUCACAGGAUCAUUCAGGUUGGAAAAGACCCCCCCAGAUCCCAAGUCCAACCCCAUCCCACCGUGCCCACUGACCGCAUCCCUCAGUGCCACAUCUCCAUGGUCUGGAACACCUACAGGGAUGGUGACCCCCCCCCCACUCCCUGGGCAGCAGUGCCAGUGCCCAACUGCUUUUUCAGAGAUGAAAUUAUUCCUUGUAUCUGACCUAAAUAGCAUGUGCAAUUGCAGAUUCCCAGCUGAAAGAUACCAAAACUCCGUGUAAUGUCAUAUUUUCCUAAAAAAUCCUCCAAAGGUCUUUGGCAAUCCCCAUGCAGAAGUGCCAUAGGUUAUACACUCAGAUGUGCUAUGGGACUUGGCAGCCAUUUGCUCUCAAUAUAUUGCUUUACAUUAUGAAAUCCCAUCAUGCUGGCUACUGACCCUUUUAUUUAUACUUAUGAAAGGAAUGCCUGUCGUCUUGAUACUGAUUUCUGAAGUUUGUUAGCAGUUUGCUGUCUGUAUACUAAGGCACUAUGAGAGAGCUGGACCUGAGUGAAGCUUUGUUUAUAGAGCCUCUUAUUUUGAGUUCUGUUUUAAACAUUGAGGGGGUUUUCCAUUGCUUUCAGCCACUUUUAUCUAGAGCCUUUAGAGAGAGGCAACAGCGGUGGUAUGGGGGAGGUGUUCUCCAAGCCAAGAGAUAAAGCAUCUCAGUGGAGAUGGGGAGCUGGAGGGGGAGGAAUAAUUUCUCCCUUUCCUGGAAAGGCACAUGGAUGAAGGGCAUUUUCUCCCUGGGAAAGCAAUAGCAGUGAUGCAAGGGCUGGCUGAUAGCUGGUGUCUUGUUCACACCAACAGAAAAUUAAGUAGCAGCUACAGACUGAUCUCACAGCAAACCGAGUUGCCCAAUGCUGAGGAUGUGGGUCUGUCAGCUUCAUAUCUAACCAAAGCCUCAACACUGUGAUUCUGGGCUGUGUCGGUGCCGUCAGGUGCAGGUGAGAGGCAGCACAUCCAUCCUGAGACCUAGAAAACAGGUUCAGAAUGCAUCCACUCAUCUUCCAGACCUCUGGAUGACCAUCCAUCAUGACCGUCGUCUCCAGCCUUGUCUUAUGACACAGCUUGCCAGAAAACCUGGCAGCCCUUCCAUGGCCAACAGGAUGACCUUGUGGUGCUCAUAGGACAGGGCAUGGGACAGCUCAGCCUUCUGCUCCCAGUCCUUCAGAAAUCCUGGAUCAGCGCUGAGCACUAAUUAAGGAAUGUUUGAACUUUAAAGCAGUUUCCUAUAUCAGCUGAUGUUGUGUUUCAGCUGCUGAAGUCCCAGGGCCAGAUUAAAACAUCUGCCACGAGAAAUAAAAGGUCACUAAAUCUGAACCUUUCACCUCUGUGUCCGGGGGAUGAGAAAGAACAUAUUGAGCGAUGCAGUUGCUAAGAUGUUCUUAAAUUUCUUUUAGCCCCAGGGAAGCUUUGGGGACCUGUGAUAUACCUAAACAAUGGAGAUUUAUGGGGAAAAGUCUGUCCAUCAGCAUUUCUCACUGCACACACAGCC